rnacentral:lncRNA from 1 species
UUCUGCUUCAUCUUCUUUUAUCUCCAUUCCUCCGCUUCCUCGCCGAUGUGCUCUGCGUUCUUCGCCUUUGUGAUGUUGAUAUGCAUUGUUCGUAGAUAUCGUUUUUGUUGAACCAUUCGUUGUUGUAUGUGUUGUUUGUUGUUAUCGGUCACAGUUGUCGUCUUCCUUAUCGUUAGUGUUAGCGUCCAUCGAACUUGUUGUUCUAUUACUUGAUUAUUGUUGUCGCAGCCAACUUUAGGUUAGUUUCUUUAUUUUUCAAUUUUAGAUUUAUUUUAUAAUUCCAUUAUUCCACUUGAUUACAUUUGUGAAAUAAAGAAGAAGAAAAAAACUUAUGUCAGAAUAUUUUCUUGUGUUAUUGAAAAGUUAUGCUAGUACUCUCAAAUAGUUCAUAGUUGUGAGAUAUGAAUACAAGGAGCAAAUUUGAAGUAGAAAGAGAUAUUAUUGUCUUGGUAGUCAAUUGGAAAUUUU